GACGAACGCUGGCGGCGUGCUUAACACAUGCAAGUCGAACGGAAAGGCCCCUUCGGGGGUACUCGAGUGGCGAACAGGUGAGUAACACGUGAGUAACCUGCCCUUGACUUCGGGAUAACUUCAGGAAACUGGGGCUAAUACCGGAUAGGAAUCCUUGCUGCAUGGUGGGGGUUGGAAAGCUUCGGCGGUUUUGGAUGGACUCGCGGCUUAUCAGCUUGUUGGUGGGGUAGUGGCUUACCAAGGCUUUGACGGGUAGCCGGCCUGAGAGGGCGACCGGCCACAUUGGGACUGAGAGACGGCCCAGACUCCUACGGGAGGCAGCAGUGGGGAAUAUUGCACAAUGGGCGGAAGCCUGAUGCAGCAACGCCGCGUGCGGGAUGACGGCCUUCGGGUUGUAAACCGCUUUCAGCAGGGGCGAAGCUUGUGGUGACGGUACCUGCAGAAGAAGCACCGGCUAACUACGUG
rnacentral:rRNA from 1 species